ACUUGCUUUCAGAAAGUAGAGCAGGGAGUCUUAGCUUCACUCAACCAUAAUCAAUAAGUUGCCAUUCAAGUCCUGUAAAGUUUGCAAAGGUCAGGGAUACCUUAUACCCAGCAAUAAGAGACAAUCUGGCAGCAAUAAGUGUUUUGAGGAAGUGAAUAUAGCUACUUAUUUAUCAUGUCAAUGUGUGUUCAUUCACAAAUUCUGGGAGAAUCUGAUUGAAUAAUGAAAACAAAACCAAAAGGUUACAAGCCCUGAGAGGACUAAGACUAGGACCAAACAAACAUACCCUCUAAAUGGUUCAACUGAUCUCCAAGUGUAUGUUCAUACACUUCUCAAACCUAAGACUUCAACCUUCAACAGCUGUAAUCUGUGAUGAACUACCAACCAGAUGACUGGACUGGACAACAUGUUAACCAUUGGAAAAAUAUUCUACACUGCUAGUGCUGUAUUACAUGCAGGUGACUUUCUGGGAAUUCUACCUUUGAUCUUACCUACUGAUAUGUUAUUGUCCUGUGGUAAUUGUUUUUCCUCCAAGUAUUUCUGACUAACAAGUGUCCUAAUUUAGAUUUAAAAGAAGAAUGACACUGUAAAUGCUAAAGAUUUGUAAUCUAAGGUACACUGUUUGUGAGAUGUCUGCUUCCUCCAAACAAGUUGGUGGAACAUCAAAUCUGAAAUGCUUCACGAAUUAGAUAUAUUGUACGGCGGGAUUUUAGUGAUUACAAAAAAAAAAAUGUACCUGCUAAUUGCUUGCUUUACAGAACAACUGUUUGGUGACGCAAUAUUAAGCCCUUGGCUGAGCUCUAUUUGAACUUGAUUUAAUAGUGACAGAAAAAUACUCUUGGCCCGUCUUUGUGAGAUUUCCGCUUUCCCUAAAAAAGUUGGUGGAACAUCAAAAUUUGAAACACUUAAUGGAGUGGAUUGGCCUAAAUAAUAGUAAAUGCAUGAGAAUUCUAUUGUUUUGUGCUAUCUUUACAGAAGAAUUGUUGGUGAGGCACUGUGGACCCCUCAGUUUAUGUAUUCUUUAUUUUAGCUAGAUGUGACAGUGAGAGGAAAAUGUAAUUUGACUGUCUAUGUGUGAUGUUUGCUUUCUCUGAACAAGGAGGUGGAACAUCAUAUCUAUAAUAGU